UACGUAGGGGGCAAGCGUUGUCCGGAUUUAUUGGGCGUAAAGAGCGUGUAGGCGGCUAGGUAGGUCUGCUGUGAAAACUCGAGGCUUAACCUCGAGCUGUCGGCGGAAACCAUCUGGCUAGAGUCCGGAAGAGGAGAAUGGAAUUCCCGGUGUAGCGGUGAAAUGCGCAGAUAUCGGGAAGAACACCCGUGGCGAAGGCGGUUCUCUGGGACGGUACUGACGCUGAGACGCGAAAGCGUGGGGAGCGAACAGG
rnacentral:rRNA from 1 species